UUUGGAAAUCCAUCCUCCAGAUAUACUUUGGGGGGGGGGGGAUGUCAACUUCAUAAUCUCAAGCACCACCCCAACAUCAGCAUAUGUGAAAAUGGCCAGUUUCUAAGAUAGGGGAAGAUAAGCGUUUCCAGUGACAUCAUCAACCAAAUAGUAGACAAUUAGGAGGCAAUGCCUACUCAUAAUUGGUUAAAAUCACGAGAUGCAUACCAAUGUCAUGCAGGUUCAGGUAGGCUAUUCAGGACAGCUCCCUCAUUUCAAACUCGAGCCCCCUCAGUUUUAGUUUUACUGUAUGUCCCUAUAUAAACUAGCAAAAAAGUUAAAAUGAUUAACAGGUUGGCGCACAAUGGACAGGUCUCGCUUCGGUGUGUGUGUAGGGGGGCUAUGGAAAGCCACUGAGUAGUUAGGUAUGACUCCUUUGGGUUUCCAUAAAAAGUGGGGAAAAAACACUUCUCAUCUCUAAGGUUGGUUAAGUAAAUAAUGUGAUACACCUCCGCCUCUAAUAUUUUAUUUUGAUUUAUAAGGGCGGGGUCAAGUUUACAGUUGAAGCUGCUUCACUCAACUCUGCCUCACACCCCACCAUUACCGAGUUGAAGUUAGCUUCUUAGCUGGCUGUAAAAAGCGUUAGUGUUAUUAGCCUUAUCCUAUUUAGCUAGCUCGAACCAGCUAAUCUGCCACAAUGGAUAUCAGAAAUUGGCUUUGUCAAAGUACCCAAACAAAGGAGGAGAGCGAUUAGCAGCAGCAUCAAACCACCAAGGCCGCCGCCAAGCCCAGCAGCGAUGAUGCUGACACGCCCCAGUUGUCUCUGUGUGCAGAGCCUACCCAGGAUAAUGGUUCCACUGCCGCCUCCACCUCCGACUGUUCCUGAUGAUCUUGGAACAGGGGAGCCGGCCCAGGUUAGCCUAGAAUUCUACCCUAGCUGCAGGUUUUCUGUCUAAAAACGUUCAUUUAAUAGCAACUGGUUCAGAGGAAGAGACUGGCUGGAAUACUCGGUUACUGCCGAUGUGGCAUUUUGUUUCCCUUGUCGAAAGUUCUGUGUUGGGUCCAAUGCUAACACAGAUAAGGCCUUCACUCAAGCUGGGUAUUCUAACUGGAAGAAUAAUAUUGAUAGUACCAAAGGAUUUUAUGCACCAGCUCCAAGCAAAUUAUGACCUUACCAAAUCUCCAGCAAUACGUAGUGGACAGUACAGUAAGGACAGAGGAGGAGAGACUGAAUAUAAAAUAUUGUUCUUCAGCACGUUGGGAUGCUGUCAAUGGUGAAAUGUCCUGCAAUGAUUCACUGGGCCAUGUCUUCGCUAUGCCGACCGUGCUUACUGCACUUAAACACUUUUGGGCCAUCCACAGGUACAUGCGAGAACUCAUGUUCCACUUUGACAAACAUGUUCAGUCAACACAGAAGAAGCAUGCUACACCCAAGGAAAGCUUAACUAAUCCAACUGGCAUUUGAGGGGGAUCUUACCAGAAGAUUUCAGGGAGAAUGGAAUGAUCGAUUACUCAGGAAGUUCCACAGAACAUCAAGGAGGCUGCAACUCUUUCGAAAAGGGUAUGCUAAGGAAUCUUCAGAUCCAGGACAUGGCUGGAGUCCACACAGGCCCUAACUCAUCUCGUAACUGCAGGCCACCGCCCAGCAGUUGAUCCGGCGCGCACUGUGUCUUGGGAGGGCAAGCAGGUAAGAUUCCCACACUCUGGUCACUGCUUCCAUUUCGGUGUGUCGGGGAUUUUAUCACAAAGUCUUUUGUAAUGAUAUGAUUUUGUGCACAUUCUAAUAUUUAAAUACUCUUGGCAUGUAGUGGUUGUUUUAGGAAUUUGCAUGCUUCCUCUUUUAUUCCGCUUGGUUUGCUGUGCUUUUUCUUCUCUCUUUUUUCAACAUAACUAUCUCCCCUGCAAGUGCAUGUGGUGGGGGCUCAGCAGUCUACGGCGCUGCAUCUCAGUGCUAGAGGCGUCACUACAGACACCCUGGUUCGAUUCCAGGCUGUGUCACAACCGGCCGUGAUUGGGAGUCGUGGGGCACAAUUGGCCCAUCGUCGUCAGAGUUUGGCCACUGUAGGACGCCAUUGUAAAUAAGAAUUUGUUCCUAACUGACUUGCCUAGUUAAAUAAAGGAUAAAUAAAUAAAAAAAUAUUUUUUA